rnacentral:rRNA from 1 species
GAAUGCUGACAUAAGUAACGAUAAAGCGGGUGAAAAGCCCGCUCGCCGGAAGACCAAGGGUUCCUGUCCAACGUUAAUCGGGGCAGGGUGAGUCGACCCCUAAGGCGAGGCCGAAAGGCGUAGUCGAUGGGAAACAGGUUAAUAUUCCUGUACUUGGUGUUACUGCGAAGGGGGGACGGAGAAGGCUAUGUUGGCCGGGCGACGGUUGUCCCGGUUUAAGCGUGUAGGCUGGUUUUCCAGGCAAAUCCGGAAAACCAAGGCUGAGGCGUGAUGACGAGGCACUACGGUGCUGAAGCGACAAAUGCCCUGCUUCCAGGAAAAGCCUCUAAGCAUCAGGUAACAUCAAAUCGUACCCCAAACCGACACAGGUGGUCAGGUAGAGAAUACCAAGGCGCUUGAGAGAACUCGGGUGAAGGAACUAGGCAAAAUGGUGCCGUAACUUCGGGAGAAGGCACGCUGAUAUGUAGGUGAAGCGACU